CCACCAACUGGACUUGCUGUCCAUUGACUAAGUACUGACUGGUAUAUUCUUCUAGUGUAAAUGUAGAUCUUACUUCUCAACUUUCCAGGACUCACCAAGACAGUAUCGAUUUGAGGCUCCAUCUCGGGUUUAUUCCUUUGUGUCCUGCUUCACAAACAAUGUCCCCAAUACCAGCUUCGCAAACUUCUCAUGCAAACGUCUUUAGAUGUGCUGUCAAAAAUGGAUUCAAGGAAUUUGGUUCGUACACAAG